rfam:Musa acuminata subsp. malaccensis Doubled-haploid Pahang (DH-Pahang) genomic chromosome, chr4
AAUGGGUAAAGAGAGCUUCCUUCAGUCCACUCAUCGGUGGGGAUGGGGUUUCUUUAGCUGCCGACUCAUUCAUCCAAUUACCAAGAAGCAUCUUAACUUGGUAGCUGAGUGAAUGAUGCGGGAGGUAAACUGGAUCCCGUGCUGCCUGUGCUUGGACUGAAGGGAGCUCCCUUUUUGGCAACU